UACGAAGGGGGCAAGCGUUGUUCGGAAUUACUGGGCGUAAAGGGCGCGUAGGCGGCCGAUCAAGUCAGGCGUGAAAUUCCCGGGCUCAACCUGGGGGCUGCGCUUGAUACUGAUUGGCUUGAAUGCGGGAGAGGAUAGUGGAAUUCCCAGUGUAGAGGUGAAAUUCGUAGAUAUUGGGAAGAACACCGGUGGCGAAGGCGGCUUCCUGGCCCGUAACUGACGCUGAGGCGCGAAAGCGUGGGGAGCAAACAGG
rnacentral:rRNA from 1 species